UAGGGAAUCUUCGGCAAUGGACGAAAGUCUGACCGAGCAACGCCGCGUGAGUGAAGAAGGUUUUCGGAUCGUAAAACUCUGUUGUUAGAGAAGAACGUUGUGUAGAGUGGAAAAUUACACAAGUGACGGUAUCUAACCAGAAAGGGACGGCUAACUACGUGCCAGCAGCCGCGGUAAUACGUAGGUCCCGAGCGUUGUCCGGAUUUAUUGGGCGUAAAGCGAGCGCAGGUGGUUUAAUAAGUCUGAUGUAAAAGGCAGUGGCUCAACCAUUGUGUGCAUUGGAAACUGUUAGACUUGAGUACAGUAGAGGAGAGUGGAAUUCCAUGUGUAGCGGUGAAAUGCGUAGAUAUAUGGAGGAACACCGGUGGCGAAAGCGGCUCUCUGGACUGUAACUGACACUGAGGCUCGAAAGCGUGGGUAGCAAACAGGAUUAGAUACCCUGGUAGUCCACGCCGUAAACGAUGAGUGCUAGUUGUUUGGGGCUAUCCAGCCCUAAGUGACGCAGCAAACGCAUUAAGCACUCCGCCUGGGGGAGUACGACCGCAAGGUUGAAAC
rnacentral:rRNA from 1 species